UACGUAGGUGGCAAGCGUUGUCCGGAAUUAUUGGGCGUAAAGCGCGCGCAGGUGGUUCCUUAAGUCUGAUGUGAAAGCCCACGGCUCAACCGUGGAGGGUCAUUGGAAACUGGGGAACUUGAGUGCAGAAGAGGAAAGUGGAAUUCCAAGUGUAGCGGUGAAAUGCGUAGAGAUUUGGAGGAACACCAGUGGCGAAGGCGACUUUCUGGUCUGUAACUGACACUGAGGCGCGAAAGCGUGGGGAGCGAACCGG
rnacentral:rRNA from 1 species